rnacentral:lncRNA from 1 species
GCCAACUUCCUGGGGGCUGCUUCCCCCAUUUCUACUGUUCUUCUUUCUUUAUAAUUACUAUCCUUCCUUCCUUUAUUGUUUUCUUUCUUCUUCUCUCUAUGGUGUUUCUGCCGUCCUGCUUAAUCAGUGUACACCUGAGCACCCAGCCUGUGGGAUGCCUCUAGUAGCUUAGCUUUAUUGUAAAAAUAAAAAUCGAAAUAAAUGGCUACAUUUAUCAACUUAGUGGAAAAUCAAACUAUCAAAUUUCACAUCGGAUGGAAAGGAUGGUUGAAAGUAAUUGUGAUCUCCUUGUGUAUCAAAAGUAAAUGGUCUAAUUGUAUAGAAUUCCUUUUAGAUUUCAAUACAAGAAACAACAUAACUUAAUUGGCAACACAGGAAACACCAGAACUCAUUUGUUAGGUUGAG